GACGAACGCUGGCGGCGUGCUUAACACAUGCAAGUCGAACGGAAAGGCCCUGCUUUUGUGGGGUGCUCGAGUGGCGAACGGGUGAGUAACACGUGAGUAACCUGCCCUUGACUUUGGGAUAACUUCAGGAAACUGGGGCUAAUACCGGAUAGGAGCUCCUGCUGCAUGGUGGGGGUUGGAAAGUUUCGGCGGUUGGGGAUGGACUCGCGGCUUAUCAGCUUGUUGGUGGGGUAGUGGCUUACCAAGGCUUUGACGGGUAGCCGGCCUGAGAGGGUGACCGGCCACAUUGGGACGGAGAUACGGCCCAGACUCCUACGGGAGGCAGCAGUGGGGAAUAUUGCACAAUGGGCGGAAGCCUGAUGCAGCAACGCCGCGUGCGGGAUGACGGCCUUCGGGUUGUAAACCGCUUUCGCCUGUGACGAAGCGUGAGUGACGGUAACGGGUAAAGAAGCACCGGCUAACUACGUG
rnacentral:rRNA from 1 species